AACAACGAACACUAAGUUGCAUAUACCAAAGGAUUCAUGAGAAGAUUUCUACCUAUGCAUAUGUUAGUCAAUAUCCACUUGAAGGCUCUAACACUGAGCAACACCUACUUUACAACAGCUCCGCAACGUGAGGAAAAUGAGAAGCUGCAGCUCUCUAAUGCUGAGAAGGGUAAGGUGGUGACCCGCUUCCCCCCAGAGGCUAGCGGGUUCCUGCAUAUCGGCCAUGCGAAAGCUGCGCUGAUCAACCGCAUGCUGGCGGACGCGUAUGAGGGAAAGAUGCUUUUCCGCUUCGAUGACACAAAUCCAUCGAAGGAAAAGGAGCACUUUGAGGUUGCCAUCGAGGAGGAUCUCAAGACACUAGGUGUGCGGUACGAUUUCGGGCCAACAUACUCGUCGGACUACUUUGAUCUGAUGUUCGAGAAGGCGGAGGACAUGAUCAAGCGUGGAUUGGCGUACUGUGAUAAGACACCGCGGGAGGAGAUGCAGAAGUGCCGCUUCAACGGUAUUCCGACAAAGUACCGCGAUGCGUCUGUGGAGGAGAACAUGCGCCUGUGGAGGGAGAUGAAGAAGGGCACUGAGGAAGGCCAGAUCACGUGCCUUCGUGCUAAGGUGUCCAUUGACGACCCCAACAAGGCGAUGCGGGACCCCGUCAUGUACCGCGUGAGCAUGACCCCGCACGCCCGCCACGGGACGAAGCAAGUGGCGUACCCGACCUAUGACUUCUGCUGUCCUCUUGUCGACUCGGUUGAGGGUGUAACCCAUGCUCUUCGCACAAAUGAGUAUCACGACCGCAAUGCCCAGUACUACUGGUUUUGCGACGCUAUGGGGAUCCGCAAGCCGACCAUUGAGGACUUCUCGCGACUCAAUAUGGAGUACUCGGUAAUGUCAAAGCGAAUGCUAACAAAACUGGUGGACACGCAUGUGGUGGACGGGUGGGAUGACCCGCGGCUCCCGACGGUGCGCGCACUAGUUCGCCGUGGUAUGCAGAUUGAGGCGCUUCGCCAGUUUGUGGCGGAGCAAGGCAUGUCGAAGAGCGUGAACUUCAUGGAGUGGUCGAAGAUCUGGUACUUUAAUGCACAGAUUCUAGACCCCACAAGCCCCCGCUACACGGUGGUGUCGAACACGCUGAAGGUCCGCUGCACUGUGGAGGGGCAGAGACAUAUGGAAGCUGAAAAGAAGCCGCUCCACAAGAAGGACUCCAGCAUGGGCGAGAAGACGUAUUACAAGUCAGAUAUUAUCUUUUUGGACGCUGAGGACGUGGUGCUCAUCAAAGACGGUGACGAGGUGACGCUGAUGGACUGGGGCAACGCAUACGUCAAGGACAUAAAGCGUCCGAGCGCUGAUGCUCUGCCUACUGAGGCCACGAUCGUUCUGCACCCAGAGGGAGAUGUCAAGAAGACGAAGUUCAAGCUCACGUGGGUGCCGGAGAGCGACAAGGCGGUGAUUUUGACACUGAACGAGUACGAUAAUCUGUUGACCAAGAAGAAACCGGACCCAGAGGAGAGCAUUGAUGACAUCAUUGCUCCCGUUUCUCGCUACUCACAGGAGGUUAUUGGCGAGGAGGCGCUGUCGGUGGUGAAGAAGGGUGACAUUGUCCAGCUGGAGCGCCGCGGCUACUACAUCGUCGACGACGACAAGGCGGAGAAGAAGGUGCUCAUCUCAAUCCCGGAUGGCCGCGACAAAGUGAACCAUCUUUCUGCGAAGGCGCAGUACCUGAAGACACUGCCGAAGAAGGCGUCCGCCGCCGACGAGCUGGCGGCCAAGCGUGCAGCUAAGGCAGCGAAGAAGGCGGCUCAGAAGGCAGCGGCGAAGAGCAGCUAGCGAGGCUCGAGAGCACGUGUAUUUUUUUUUUCGCAUGCACGAGUCUCUGUCGUGCUCCACAAAACGUGUCGUUACCUGAAAGCCGUUCAUGUAACUGUUGUCUUGUGUCUUUUGGUGGCUCAGGCGGGGCCGAGGCUCCCUCGUUGGUGACUCUGAAACGGGAGGAAGGUUAAAUGGAGUCAAAGAGGUGCUUGUGGCGCUCUUGAAGUGAUGGUCUUGCCCACGAGCAGCGACGGUUUGCCUUUUUCUCCCUUUCGCCAUCACCCGCCAUCGCUCUAAGUCUGUCUCCUCGUGCUCAUGCCGUUCACUCAUUAUGGUUAACUUUGAAAGUUUUUUUUUUUAAACCCCGUGAAAGGCUGAAGGGAGGGAAUCACAAGAGAGGGAUGGGUUGGUAAAGCAAAUGUUUAAGUUGCAGAGGCUUGCGUGUGUGUUUGUGCAAGCUGUUUUGCUUCCUUGAAGGUUUUUCUUUUUGUGACCUUCCCUGACCGUCUCCGUUGUUUCUCUUUCCCGCGGACUUUUUCUUUUUCGCCUCAACGACGGCAUCCCAAGACGCACGCAUGCGCACGCAAGCAACGGC
rnacentral:misc_RNA from 1 species